AUUCUUUUGCGAAUAUCUCUCUCCAAUGCUUUCCGAAAUUCAGUUUCUUUCUCUUUCAUCACAGCGAUUUCUUACAGUUGCAUCCCAGAAAGGAAACCGCCAUUCACUCAACUCCACCGCCGCUUUCAUUUCAUUUCUUCCGCUUGUUUUCUUUUUGAUCGUUGUUUUGUAGCUUCAUAACCAAAGAUUUUUUGAGGUGUGACGAAAGCAGAGGACAUGUUGCUGCGGAGGAAUUUCUGGGUUGUUUUAAUGUUGAUUGCAGUGGUUUUCGGAGCCAAUUUGAUGGUUGUUAAGGCAUUGCCACGACGAAUUCUCUUGGAUACAGAUGUGGAUACAGAUGAUUUAUUUGCUCUUUUGUACCUCUUGAAGCUUAAUCGGUCAGAAUUUGAGUUGGAGGCAGUCACUAUUAGCACAAAUGCUUGGACGAGUGCUGGACAUGCAGUGAACCAAAUUUAUGACAUUCUUUACAUGAUGGGCCGCGACGAUAUUGCUGUUGGAGUUGGAGGAGAAGGUGGAAUACUCGAUGAUGGAACAAUUCAACCUAACGUUGGUGGAUAUCUUCCCAUAAUUGAGCAGGGAUUGACGACUACAGGUGGAUGCAGAUAUAGACAAGCCAUUCCUGUUGGUAUUAGAGGGCAAUUAGAUGCUGAUACCAACUAUGGGCUUCGCAAAGCAUUCCUCCCUCAGGGAAGCCGGAAGUAUAAUCCUUUGCAACAAUCAACAGCACAGCAGGUGAUGAUAGACAAAAUAUCCGAAGGCCCCAUUAAUAUAUUCCUUAUAGGACCACACACAAAUUUUGCUAUUUUCCUUAUGAGUAAUCCACACCUAAAGAAGAAUGUUGAGCAUAUUUAUGUAAUGGGUGGUGGUAUAAGAUCAGAGAACCCAACUGACUGCUGUCCAAAAAAUGCCAGCCAAUCUUGCACUCCUCAACAAUGUGGUGAUCCUGGUAACAUAUUCACAGAUUACUCUAGUAAUCCUUAUGCAGAAUUCAAUAUCUUCGGAGAUCCUUUCGCAGCAUACCAGGUGAUUCAUUCUGGAAUUCCACUCACCAUUGUUCCACUGGAUGCUACAAACACCAUUCCCGUAACUAAGAAUUUUUUUGAAGCAUUUGAGCAGAAUCAUGAUACAGUUGAGGCACAAUAUGCAUUCCAAUCAUUAAAAAUAGCUCGUGAUUUUCGACUUGGCAAGCAAUUCUAUACAAAUUAUUUCAUGUGGGAUUCUUUCGCAUCUGGUGUGGCAACAUCUAUCAUGCUUAACUCGCAUAAUGAUGAUGGUCAAAAUGAUUUUGCUAUCAUGCAGUACAUGAAUAUAACUGUAGUAACUUCAAAUAAACCAUAUGGUAUAUCUGAUGGAUCAAAUCCAUUCUUUUAUGGACGUCAAAUUCCAAAAUUUAGUCUUGAAAAAGGUGGGGUGCACAGUGGCCAUGUUCAAACAGGUCUUCGAGACCCCUUUUGCAUUGUGGAUAAUGGAGAAGGCAAAUGUCAGGAUGGUUAUACAGCAGAGGUAAUGGGUCCAGAGGGAGUGCAAGUUUUGGUUGCUACAAGAGCAAAGCCCAACCGGAACAUCACCAGUCCUCUUGACAGAGAAUUUUACAUAGGCUUCUUAGAUGUUAUUAACAGUCCUAUAAACACAGGAAGGUUCAAUUUUACCACACAAUUCCCAUAUUACGAGCAAGUUAUGUACAUACCAGAUUUAAAAAACAUUAAACGAGGGAAACCUGUUGUGAUUGAUAUGGAUAUGAGUGUUGGAGAUUUUCUAGCAUUGUUCUAUCUUUUGAAAGUACCUGUGGAAGUUAUUGACAUUAAGGCAAUAAUAGCUAGUCCAACAGGAUGGGCAAAUGCUGCAACAAUAGAUGUUAUCUAUGACCUACUGCAUAUGAUGGGUCGAGAUGACAUACCAGUAGGUCUUGGAGAUUUUUUUGCGGUAAACCAAUCAGAUUCAAUUUUGCCUAUUGUUGGGGACUGUAAGUAUGCUAAAGCCAUUCCAAAUGGGUGUGGUGGAUAUUUAGACUCUGACACUCUCUAUGGUCUUGCUCGUAAUUUGCCCAGAAGCCCAAGAAGGUACACAGUAGAACACCCAGUAAGACAUGAAGCUCCUCACAACUCUCAGCAUCCUGAACUGAGACAACCUCUAGCCAUGGAAAUUUGGGAAUCCAUAUUGACAACAUUGGAACCAGGAUCCCAGAUUUCAGUGCUUACCAAUGGACCAUUGACUAAUUUAGCAAAGCUUAUAACAUCAAACAAAAACGCAAGUUCCCUUAUACAGGAAGUUUAUAUAGUUGGGGGACACAUCAAGGAUGAUGAUAUGGAUAAAGGAAAUGUCUUCACUGUUCCUUCAAAUAUAUAUGCAGAAUUCAAUUUUUUUCUUGAUCCAUUAGGAGCAAAGAUUGUGUUCGAGUCGACAGUUAAUAUCAAGUUAGUUCCCCUCGGCAUCCAGCGAUAUGUCAGCUCAUUUGAAAAUGUAUUAGAAAUUCUCCGCAAAAAAAAGAGGACGCCCGAGCUACUCUUUGCUAAUCGUUUGUUGUCAAGACUCUUCAGCUUGAAGCAAUCAGACAUCUGUUAUAAGCAUGUGGAAACUUUCUUGGGUGAAAUUCUUGGCGCUGUAGUUCUGGCUGAAGAUCUUGUCAAACCAGUUUUUCAAUUCAAGCCUGUAAAAAUCUUGGCAGAUGGUGUUGAAUCUCAAGAUGGCCAAACAAUCAUCUAUGAGAAGGGUGGGAAAUUAAUCCAAAUACUGCAGAAUUUGAACCAAACAGCCUACUUUGAUCUAUUUGCAAACCGGCUAAGUGAUAAGAAACAAUCUGCGGUGAUCAAAAGCUUUAACGACCAGAAAAGAAUGUGGUGGGAUUCCUUCGCAUCUGGUAUGGCAACGUCUAUCAUGGUUAACUCACAUAACGAUGAUGAUCACAAUGAUUUUGCUAUGAUGGAGUACAUGAAUAUAACUGUAGUUACUUCAAAUAAACCUUAUGGUAUAUCUGAUGGGUCAAAUCCAUUUUUUUAUGGACAUCGAAUUCCAAAAUUUGGUCUAAAAAAAGGUGGGGUGCACAGUGGCCAUGUUCAAACAAGACUUCGAGAUCCCUUUUGCAUUGUGAAUAAUGGACAAGGGAAAUGUCAGAUUCACAAAAUGUUAUCCAUCAGGAUGGUUAUACCGCAGAGGUAAUGGGUCUAGAGAGAGUGCACAUCUUGGUUGUUACAAGAGCAAAGACCGAUCAGAACAUCACUUCCUCUUGACAGAGAAUUUUACAUAGGCUUCUUAGAUAUUUCAAAAUUAUGGAACUGGGGAAACCUGUUGUGAAUGACAUGGAUAUGAGCGCUGUAGUUUUUCUAGCUUUGUUAUUUCUUUUCAAAGUACCUGUGGAAGAUAUUGACAUUAAGGUGAAGUUUUUCUUUUGCCUUUCCCCUUUUAGAUUCUACUGUAUUGUUUGACAGUCAUUCUAAGAUUCCAGCUUGAUGCCAUUAUAAAAGGCUUGGCUGCCAUUCAGUAUUUGGAAUGAAUCCUACAUCAUAACUUAUCCUUGUGGCACUUGUUAAGUGUGAGAUAUUUGAAAUGUUAGCAACUAAGAGACUCAAUUUGUUGAUCUGAAUAACUUUUGUAUUACAAGUGAGGAAAAAAGUUAAGAGAGGGAGCUCUUUGGGAGUUUCUUAGUUGAAAGGAGUAGCCUUACCUACUUUAAGGUUCUACCUCUUUAAUCAACAACCUUCAUUAUUUUGAUUGUAUGCUAAUGAGAAUUUUAGCCCAGGGCAUAUUUAACGUACCAUUGCUUUACUUUCUCAAAAGUGGCCCAUGACUGACCUUCACACUUUACUUUCUCCAGACGAUAUAUAUUGCCUCUACUUUUUUGCAUGCACUAAUAGCCAGUGCAACAGGAUGGGCAAAUGCUGCAACGAUAUACGUUAACUAUGACCUACUGCAUAUGAUGGGUCGAGAUGACAUACCCGUAGUUCUUGGAGACAUAUUUGCAGUAAACUAAUCAGAUUAAUUUUGCCUAUUAUUGGAGACUGUAAGUAUUCUAAAUCCAUUCCAAAUGGGUGUGGUGGAUAUUUCGACUCUGACACUCUCUAUGAUCUUGCUCGUAAUUUUCCCAGGAGCCCAAGAAGGUACUGAAUUACCUGUUUAGUCUCUCAGAGAUUCCAUAUUAAAUCUAUCUUUAUCUGUACAUUUCAGAGAAUUAUCCAAUCCACAUAUUACAAAAUGAAACCAAUUAAAUAUAACUUGAAUCUGAAGUGUGAACCAACAUAGCACUUUAGAUUAUGUAAUUUUAUUCAUCCUCUUUGGCCUUUAAAUUGAUUGGCACCCAUCUCGAUUAUGUUUCUAGUUACACAGUAGAACACCCAGUAAAACAUGAAGCUCCUCAGAACUUUCAGCUUCCUAAAAUGAGACAACCUCUAGCCAUGGAAAUUUGGGAAUCCAUAUUGACAACAUUGGAACCGGGAUCCAAGAUCUCAGUGCUUAACCAAUGGACCAUUGACUAAUUUAGCAAAUCUUAUAACAUCAAACAAAAACGCAAGUUCCCUUAUUCAGGUUUGUGGAUUUGGAUAGUCUUGCCAUUAUCUUAUCUAAAACAUGUGUUGCAGAUACUCAAAAAGCUAGAGUACAAAAUGCCAUGAUAAUCUCUAUAAGAAUUGUUGCUUUCCAUGAGAGGUUAUCUCUUGGACGUUUCAGCUAGUUCUCUUUGUGGUCUAGAAGGUUUACUUUCUUGUGGGGGCUUUUGCAAAUGGGAGAAAAGUUGUUUAUAUUAUUGGCUCGCAUAUAACACAUAAACACUAUGAAAUAAGGAACAAAGAUCUUGGAAUCUCUUAUGUGCCUACAUUAUUACAAAAAGAAGAGUUUCUUAAGCUGGUGAACUUGAAUUACAAGCAACAUUUGUUAAGACUUUCAUAUUAGCAGAAACCGGGCUUUGAUGUGCUGCAUAUGUUACAUAGUUCUGACAAUAUAGCAAGUGUUGACUCACUGCAGGAAGUUUAUAUAGUCAGGGGCACAUCAAGGAUGAUGAUACGGAUAAAGGAAAUGUCUUCACUAUUCCUUAAAAUACGUAUGCAGAAUUCAAUAUUUUUCUUGACCCCUAGGUGCAAAGACUAUGUUGGAGUCGACAGUUAAUAUCACAUUAGUUCCCAUUGGCACCCAACGAUCUGUCAGCUCGUUUGAAAACGUAUUAGAAACUCUCCGGAAGAAAAAGAGGACACCGGAGCGUCUCUUUACCAAUGGUUUGAUGUCAAGACUCUUUCGCUUUAAGCAAUAAGACGUCUGUUAUAAGCAAGUGGUAAGAAAUUGCCUCACUUCAAUUCCCACCUGUCCUAGUUAAUUUUUGUAUGGUUAAUUUCUCUCAUAGCUUUAAUGAAGUAUAAAAUUGUACACUAUAUUAUACCGGUUCAAUUUCUUGUAUCUAUGUUUUUAUUGACUUGGAAUCUUUGGAAUUCUUAUGAAGGGUUUAGUCCAUAAUUUGUUUCUUCCCAACAACGAACUUCUUCCUCAGACUAUCGAUGAUUAUAUGUUUCACAAUUGUGGCAGGGGAACAUGUCUUCCCAAGUUCACUAACUUAUACGGAAGUUGGAAUAAAAUUCUGUUGAUAGAAUUAUACCAUCGCCUGGAGAAAAUGAGAACUAGAACUUAUCUGACGCACAACAUUUCAUUAUCUGUCUUUUUCCAUAUUAGAGUUCAAUAUAAUUAGCCUAAGAUAUCUCUUUAUGGCUUCAGUCGCAAGAAUAGAUAGAACCUUGAGAGUCCAAAAUUCAGAAUUCAACUGCAAAAGCCUAUAUCCGGUUAAAAUCCAGAGUUGUCAUAAGAAAGAUCUCAAGUUCAUACUCAGUUGUCAGUUGAUUCAAUCUUUAGUUUACGAAAGCAGUUUGCAAUCUAGGAUAAGUUGCUAAAGACUAUGGGAUUUGACAAGAAAAUUUUGUGUGCUUCUGCUAGUGGUAUUAUAUCUUUUGGCAUAAAUGUCCAUGUUGCAAUUUUGUCUUCUAUACCAGAUACAAUAGGAUCCUACAUCAGAUAUAGAAUAAUAAGUUUACACCGAGGGAGAUAGAGAGUGCCUCAUCAGGUUAGAUGUUUAUAAGUUAAAUUGGCUCCCUAUCUACACUCAGAAAGAUCAAUGAUAGCAUUAACAUUGUCCAGCUACAAUAGUCAACUAUGCCGGGAAAAUUUGAAAUUUCAAUCAGCUAAGGCUGCUAAACACAUCCUUCAGAGAUUUGUCAUUCAAGAUACCAAUCAUCCAAACUAGUGCAGAAUGAAGCAGUAAUAACAGCUGUUUCUUUCAAAUCAACGAAUAGAUUCACUGAUGAAAGUUACUUCGAACUCAAUGGGUCAAACUUUUUCUUAGGCUUCCAAUAUCUCAGAAUCUAAAUUACAGCAUCAUCACAAACUCAUCACUCAUUUCAUUUGAAGAUAGACUCCAUAAAUCAAACCAAUAUUCAAUAGAUGGAUAUAUGAACAUGAACCAAACUAAUGUUUGAACCCAUGAGGAAAUCUCAAAAAUGUAUCCAACAAAUACAUUUCAAGAGAAGAGUUCAAGAAUUAGAUUUGAUGGUGAUUCAAGCUAAAAGUUGAAGCAGAAAUAUAUCAUAAUCAAACCACAACGGUUCUCUAUUGAAAUCAGCUGUAGAAAACACUGACGUUCUGAGUGAAAAGGGCAAAGGUUUUGAAUUUGUACAAGCACAAGUAACAAUCUAUUUAAGAACCUAGAGAACAAGACGGAGGAGACUCCACAGG